AGCAGUGGGGAAUAUUGCACAAUGGGCGCAAGCCUGAUGCAGCCAUGCCGCGUGUAUGAAGAAGGCCUUCGGGUUGUAAAGUACUUUCAGCAGUGAGGAAGGUGGAUAUGUUAAUAGCAUAUUCAUUUGACGUUAGCUGCAGAAGAAGCACCGGCUAACUCCGUGCCAGCAGCCGCGGUAAUACGGAGGGUGCGAGCGUUAAUCGGAAUUUACUGGGCGUAAAAGCGCAUGCAGGUGGUUUGUUAAGUCAGAUGUGAAAGCCCGGGGCUCAACCUCGGAAUUGCAUUUGAAACUGGCAAACUAGAGUACUGUAGAGGGGGUAGAAUUUCAGGUGUAGCGGUGAAAUGCGUAGAGAUCUGAAGGAAUACCGGUGGCGAAGGCGGCCCCCUGGACAGAUACUGACACUCAGAUGCGAAAGCGUGGGGAGCAAACAGGAUUAGAUACCCUGGUCG
rnacentral:rRNA from 1 species